CCUACGGGAGACAGCAGUAGGGAAUCUUCCACAAUGGACGAAAGUCUGAUGGAGCAACGCCGCGUGAGUGAAGAAGGGUUUCGGCUCGUAAAGCUCUGUUGGUAGUGAAGAAAGAUAGAGGUAGUAACUGGCCUUUAUUUGACGGUAAUUACUUAGAAAGUCACGGCUAACUACGUGCCAGCAGCCGCGGUAAUACGUAGGUGGCAAGCGUUGUCCGGAUUUUUUGGGGGUAAAGCGGGUGCAGGCGGUUCAAUAAGUCUGAUGUGAAAGCCUUCGGCUCAACCGGAGAAUUGCAUCUGAAACUGUUGGUCUUGAGUGCAGGAGAGGAGAGUGGAACUCCAUGUGUAGCGGUGAAAUGCGUAGAUAUAUGGAAGAACACCAGUGGCGAAGGCGGCUCUCUGGUCUGCAACUGACGCUGAGGCUCGAAAGCAUGGGUAGCGAACAGGAUUAGAUACCCCAGUAGUC
rnacentral:rRNA from 1 species